GAUGGGCUCGCGUUGGAUUAGAUAGUUGGUGGGGUAACGGCCUACCAAGUCGACGAUCCAUAGCCGGACUGAGAGGUUGAACGGCCACAUUGGGACUGAGACACGGCCCAGACUCCUACGGGAGGCAGCAGUGGGGAAUAUUGCACAAUGGGGGAAACCCUGAUGCAGCAACGCCGCGUGAAGGAAGACGGUUUUCGGAUUGUAAACUUCUGUUCUUAGUGAAGAAUAAUGACGGUAGCUAAGGAGCAAGCCACGGCUAACUACGUGCCAGCAGCCGCGGUAAUACGUAGGUGGCAAGCGUUGUCCGGAAUUACUGGGUGUAAAGGGAGCGCGGGCGGGAGAUCAAGUCAGCUGUGAAAACUACGGGCUUAACUUGUAGACUGCAGUUGAAACUGAUUUUCUUGAGUGAAGUAGAGGUUGGCGGAAUUCCGAGUGUAGCGGUGAAAUGCGUAGAUAUUCGGAGGAACACCGGUGGCGAAGGCGGCCAACUGGGCUUUAACUGACGCUGAGGCUCGAAAGUGUGGGGAGCAAACAGGAUUAGAUACCCUGGUAGUCCACACUGUAAACGAUGAUUGCUAGGUGUGGGGGGUCUGACCCCUUCCGUGCCGCAGCUAACGCAAUAAGCAAUCCACCUGGGGAGUACG
rnacentral:rRNA from 1 species